rfam:Schistosoma curassoni strain Dakar, Senegal genome assembly, scaffold: SCTD_scaffold0014102
AUCCAACUGACGAGUCUCAAAUAGUACGAAACACAUGUCUUAGAU